rnacentral:lncRNA from 1 species
UAAACAUUUAUAAUUAUCAAAAGGAAUGUAUUACAGUUAAGUUUAAGUAUUGAGUUCACUUACAUCACACCGAGAUAACAUUAAUGUGAACACGGUUAUAUUCUCAAACAAAAUAGUUGAUAUUAAUCUGACAUUGACUUCAUAGUGAAGGACAAUAAGACAAUAACAAUUAAAACCAAGGAGUAAACAAAGACUCACAAAACCAGUGGACAUUCACAUCAACAGUUAAAAAUAAGAAAUAAAAAACAACACGAACUCCACGAAAACCCGGGAAUGAAAUCAGAUGCUCCGGAAGGGUAAACAUUUUCUACACUGCAUACGGCAC